CAUGGAGGAUAUAACGGAGAACGUGAUUACAAAGGCGGUGUAUGCCUAUUAGGAAGAUGUGCCUACAAAAGAAUUCCAAGAGGAUGUGAACCUGUAUACAUCAAGGUAAAGUCCACUAGAGAGCAUUUCAACGGUACCCAAGUUGGCUGCGCUUUUACGUGCAAAAGAGGGACAGAGUUCAAUUUCUUACCUGUUGGUUGGCCAUGCCUGCACAUUCGUUCCCCAGGAUCAUACGUAAGAGGUACUUGCAAGAAUGGAAAACAUAGGAGGAGAAUUAUAUGCAUGCCAGAUGCUUUUCAUCAACAGCAUUAAAAAGCGCGUCUACAGAUGAGAUUACAUAAGCAACAUGUUUAGAAUUUGGUUCCCCUGCCUCGAUCUCUGUUCUCACUAGUUUAUUCUAUUAUGCAUAGUAUUG